rnacentral:rRNA from 1 species
GACGAACGCUGGCGGCGUGCUUAACACAUGCAAGUCGAACGGAAAGGCCCUGCUUUUGUGGGGUGCUCGAGUGGCGAACGGGUGAGUAACACGUGAGUAACCUGCCCUUGACUUUGGGAUAACUUCAGGAAACUGGGGCUAAUACCGGAUAGGAGCUCCUGCUGCAUGGUGGGGGUUGGAAAGUUUCGGCGGUUGGGGAUGGACUCGCGGCUUAUCAGCUUGUUGGUGGGGUAGUGGCUUACCAAGGCUGUGACGGGUAGCCGGCCUGAGAGGGUGACCGGCCACAUUGGGACUGAGAUACGGCCCAGACGCCUACGGGGGGCAGCGGUGGGGAAUAUUGCACAAUGGGCGGAAGCCUGAUGCAGCAACGCCGCGUGCGGGAUGACGGCCUUCGGGUUGUAAACCGCUUUCGCCUGUGACGAAGCGUGAGUGACGGUAAUGGGUAAAGAAGCACCGGCUAACUACGUG